rnacentral:rRNA from 1 species
AGAGUUUGAUUAUGGACUCAGAACGAACGGCUGGCGGCAUGGAUUAGGCAUGCAAGUCGAACGGGAGCAGCAAUGCUCCAGUGGCGCAAGGGUGAGGAACACGUGAACAACCUGCCUUCGAGUUGGGGAUAGCUUCUGGAAACGGGAGAUAAUACCGAAUAACAUCACCGGGUCGCAUGACCUGGUGAUCAAAGCAGCAAUGCGCUUGAAGAGGGGUUCGCGUCCCAUUAGCUAGUUGGUGAGGUAACGGCCCACCAAGGCGAUGAUGGGUAGCUGGUCUGAGAGAACGAUCAGCCACAUUGGGACUGAGAUACUGCCCAGACUCCUACGGGAGGCUGCAGUCGAGAAUUUUGGGCAAUGGACGAAAGUCUGACCCAAGCAAUGCCGCGUGCGGGAUGAAGGUCUUCGGAUUGUAAACCGCUGUCAAGAGGGACGAAAUAUGACGGUACCUCUGGAGGAAGCCACGGCUAACUACGUGCCAGCAGCGGC